rnacentral:rRNA from 1 species
UGUCCUAUGGGACGCAGCAGUGAGGAAUAUUGGUCAAUGGGCUUACGCCUGAACCAGCCAAGUCGCGUGAGGGAAGACUGCCCUAUGGGUUGUAAACCUCUUUUGUCAGGGAGCAACGCCGGCUACGUGUAGCCGGACUGAGAGUACCUGAAGAAAAAGCAUCGGCUAACUCCGUGCCAGCAGCGGGGGUAAUACGGAGGAUGCGAGCGUUAUCCGGAUUUAUUGGGUUAAAAGGGUGCGUAGGCGGAAUGCCAAGUCAGCGGUAAAAUGGGGGG